AACGACCAUACCAUGAUGAAUAUACAGGUUCUCGUUCGAUCACCGAAGUCUAGCAUCAUCAGGCGCGGUCAUUAUUUGGGAGGGAGACCAUCUGGGGACAACGCGUGCCGU